AGUAGUUAAGCGCUUGGCUGCUAACCAGAAGGUCAGUGGUUCAAAUCCACUAGCCACUC
rnacentral:tRNA from 1 species